ensembl:snRNA Gm23850 U1 spliceosomal RNA
AUACUUAGUAUAAACGCCAUGGGAAAAAACAUGAUCACCGAGGUAGUUCUCCCAGGGCCACUGUUAUCCAUUACACUUCAGAUGUACUGACCCCCUGAUAUGUCCCCAAAGGUGGGAAACUUUACUGUGAAGUUUCUGGUAGUAAGGGGCUGCCUUCACACUCUCCUCUA